rnacentral:rRNA from 1 species
CGCGCGCUACACUGAUGCAUCCAACGAGUUUACAACCUUGGCCGACAGGUCUAGGUAAUCUUUUGAGUAUGCAUCGUGAUGGGGAUAGAUUAUUGCAAUUAUUAAUCUUCAACGAGGAAUGCCUAGUAGGCGCAAGUCAGCAGCUUGCGCCGAUUACGUCCCUGCCCUUUGUACACACCGCCCGUCGCUCCUACCGAUUGAGUGUUCCGGUGAAUUAUUCGGACUGUUCCGUGUCGCGUACCCGCGUCCGGAAUGGGAAGUUUUGUGAACCUUAACACU